rnacentral:misc_RNA from 1 species
UUGAAUGUUGAGUGUGUCUCCUUCACGGGAGUGCACUCUUUCACAUCCAUAACACCUGUGCACCGUUGGUCGUUGUGUAAGCCAUGACAGCACUGUCUGGCUGAAACAUCGACCUACCUUUCAUACCCACAAACAUAUGUACCAAAUGUAGUCUUAUUAUAACAUAAUA